AGUUUCUGAUUGGUGAGGAAAUCAGAGAAUGUUUAUGGUUUGGAUCAGUUGUGGAUUGGGGGAGUGGAGCAGAGGAUGUUUAUGGUUAGGACCAGUUUUUGAUUGGUGAGGAAUUCAGAGAAUGUUUAUGGUUUGGAUUAGUUGUGGAUUGGGGGAGUGGAGCAGAGGAUGUUUAUGGUUAGGACCAGUUUUUGAUUGGUGAGGAAUUCAGAGAAUGUUUAUGGUUUGGAUUAGUUGUGGAUUGGGGGAGUGGAGCAGAGGAUGUUUAUGGUUAGGACAAGUUUUUGAUUGGUGAGGAAAUCAGAGAAUGUUUAUGGUUUGGAUCAGUCGUGGAUUAGGGGAGUGGAGCAGAGGAUAUUUAUGGUUAGGCCCAGUCUCUGGGAUUAGAGGGCCAUUUUGUAAUAUCAGACAAUUCUUGAAUUAGGGAUCAGUCUCAUGUGACAGC